GAAGAUAUUCGUUAAUUUUUAUUGUCGUUCAAAGUAAAUCUCGUGCGGCUUGUUUUUAUUCCAAGCUGUAAGAGAUUCACUUAGAUUGAUGAUAGAUAAUUCUGCAAACUACAAA
rnacentral:precursor_RNA from 12 species